rnacentral:rRNA from 1 species
GACGAACGCUGGCGGCGUGCUUAACACAUGCAAGUCGAACGGAAAGGCCCCUUUGGGGGUACUCGAGUGGCGAACGGGUGAGUAACACGUGAGUAACCUGCCCUUGACUUCGGGAUAACUUCAGGAAACUGGGGCUAAUACCGGAUAGGAAUCCUUGCUGCAUGGUGGGGGUUGGAAAGCUUCGGCGGUUUUGGAUGGACUCGCGGCUUAUCAGCUUGUUGGUGGGGUAGUGGCUUACCAAGGCUGUGACGGGUAGCCGGCCUGAGAGGGCGACCGGCCACAUUGGGACUGAGAUACGGCCCAGACUCCUACGGGAGGAAGCAGUGGGGAAUAUUGCACAAGGGGCGGAAGCCGGAUGCAGCAACGCCGCGUGCGGGAGGACGGCCUUCGGGUUGUAAACCGCUUUCAGCAGGGGCGAAGCUUGUGGUGACGGUACCUGCAGAAGAAGCACCGGCUAACUACGUG